rnacentral:rRNA from 1 species
AGUGUAGAUUCAGAGUUUGAUCCUGGCUCAGGACGAACGCUGGCGGCGUGCCUAAUACAUGCAAGUCUAAGGGCUUGUUCCCCUCGGGGAAUGAGCACUGGCGCACGGGUGAGUAACGUGUAAGUUAUCUGCCCUCGGGUCUGGCAUAACUUCGGGAAACCGGAACUAAUUCCAGAUGAUAUCGAAAGAUCAAAGCCUUCGGGUGCCCAAGGAUGAGCUUGCGUCUGAUUAGCUAGUUGGCGGGGUAAUAGCCCACCAAGGCUACGAUCAGUAGCCGGUCUGAGAGGAUGAUCGGCCACAUUGGGACUGAGACACGGCCCAG